rnacentral:rRNA from 1 species
GACGAACGCUGGCGGCGUGCUUAACACAUGCAAGUCGAACGGAAAGGCCCUGCUUGCAGGGUACUCGAGUGGCGAACGGGUGAGUAACACGUGGGUGAUCUGCCCUGCACUUCGGGAUAAGCCUGGGCAACUGGCUCUAAUACCGGCUAGGUGCCAUUUUUAGUGUGAUGGUUGGAAAGUUUUUUCGGUGUAGGAUGAGCUCGCGGCCUAUCAGCUUGUUGGUGGGGUAAUGGCCUACCAAGGCGGCGGCGGGUAGCCGGCCUGAGAGGGUGGACGGCCACAUUGAGACUGAGAGACGGCCCAGACUCCUACUGGUGGCAGAAGUGGGGAAUGUUGCACAAGGGGCGCCAGCCUGAUGCAGCGACGCCGCGUGGGGGAUGACGGCCUUCGGGUUGUAAACUCCUUUCGCUAGGGACGAAGCUUUUUGUGACGGUACCUAGAUAAGAAGCACCGGCUAACUACGUG